rnacentral:rRNA from 1 species
UGCUUAACACAUGCAAGUCGAACGGCAGCAUAGUCUAGCUUGCUAGAUGGGUGGCGAGUGGCGAACGGGUGAGUAACGCGUAGGAAUAUGCCUUGAAGAGGGGGACAACUUGGGGAAACUCAAGCUAAUACCGCAUAAUGUCUAAGGACGAAAGCUGGGGACCGCAAGGCCUGGCGCUUUAAGAUUAGCCUGCGUCCGAUUAGCUAGUUGGUGGGGUAAGGGCCUACCAAGGCGACGAUCGGUAGCUGGUCUGAGAGGAUGACCAGCCACACUGGAACUGAGACACGGUCCAGACUCCUACGGGAGGCAGCAGUGGGGAAUAUUGGACAAUGGGGGGAACCCUGAUCCAGCAAUGCCGCGUGUGUGAAGAAGGCCUGAGGGUUGUAAAGCACUUUCAGUGGGGAGGAGGGUUGCCAGGUUAAGAGCUAGGUGAUUGGACGUUACCCACAGAAGAAGCACCGGCUAACUCCGUGCCAGCAGCCGCGGUAAUACGGAGGGUGCGAGCGUUAAUCGGAAUUACUGGG